rnacentral:rRNA from 1 species
GUCCACGCCCUAACGAUGUCAACUGGUUGUUGGGUCUUCACUGACUCAGUAACGAAGCUAACGCGUGAAGUUGACCGCCUGGGGAGUACGGCCGCAAGGUUGAACUCAAAGGAAUUGACGGGGACCCGCACAAGCGGUGGAUGAUGUGGUUUAAUUCGAUGCAACGCGAAAACCUUAACCCACCUUUGACAUGUACGGAAUUUGCCAGAGAUGGCUUAGUGCUCGAAAGAGAGCCGUAACACAGGUGCUGCAUGGCUGUCGU